GACGAACGCUGGCGGCGUGCCUAAUACAUGCAAGUCGAACGCAGUGGGGACGGGUGAGUAACACGUGGGUAACCUCCCAUCAGAGGGGAUAACACUUUGAAACAGGUUCUAACCCGAUACUGCUGGAUGAACCCGCGGUGCAUUAGCUAGUUGGUGAGGUACCGGCUCACCAAGGCCACGAUGCAUAGCCGAACUGAGAGAGUGAUCGGCAAAACUGGGACUGAGACACGGCCCAGACGCCUACGCGAGGCAGCAGUAGGGAAUCUUCGGCAAGGGACGAAAGUCUGACCGAGAAACGCGGCGUGAGUGAAGAAGGUUUUCGGAUCGUAAAACUCUGUUGUGAGAGAAGCGGUAUCUAACCAGAAAGCCACGGCUAACUACGUGCAAGCCGCCGCGGUAAUAC
rnacentral:rRNA from 1 species